AGUGAACGCUGGCGGUAGGCCUAACACAUGCAAGUCGAACGGCAGCACAGUAAGAGCUUGCUCUUACGGGUGGCGAGUGGCGGACGGGUGAGGAAUACAUCGGAAUCUACUUUUUCGUGGGGGAUAACGUAGGGAAACUUACGCUAAUACCGCAUACGACCUACGGGUGAAAGCAGGGGAUCUUCGGACCUUGCGCGAUUGAAUGAGCCGAUGUCGGAUUAGCUAGUUGGCGGGGUAAAGUCCCACCAAGGCGACGAUCCGUAGCUGGUCUGAGAGGAUGAUCAGCCACACUGGAACUGAGACACGGUCCAGACUCCUACGGGAGGCAGCAGUGGGGAAUAUUGGACAAUGGGCGCAAGCCUGAUCCAGCCAUACCGCGUGGGUGAAGAAGGCCUUCGGGUUGUAAAGCCCUUUUGUUGGGAAAGAAAAGCAGCAGGUUAAUACCCCGCUGUUCUGACGGUACCCAAAGAAUAAGCACCAGCUAACUUCGUG
rnacentral:rRNA from 1 species